CAAGAGGCGUCGAUUGCCCCGAGUUGUAUGGAAGACUAGUGAUUUUGUUGUUUUAUUGAAUUAACAAGGAAUCACUAAUCUCCCUACAAAGCGGUGGCCCUUGCUUCGGA
rnacentral:pre_miRNA from 1 species